AUUGAACGCUGGCGGCAUGCCUUACACAUGCAGGUCGAACGGUAACGCGGGGCAACCUGGCGACGAGUGGCGAACGGGUGAGUAAUGUAUCGGAACGUGCCCAGUUGUGGGGGAUAACUGCUCGAAAGAGCAGCUAAUACCGCAUACGACCUGAGGGUGAAAGCGGGGGAUCGCAAGACCUCGCGCAAUUGGAGCGGCCGAUAUCAGAUUAGGUAGUUGGUGGGGUAAAGGCUCACCAAGCCAACGAUCUGGAGCUGGUCUGAGAGGACGACCAGCCACACUGGGACUGAGACACGGCCCAGACUCCUACGGGAGGCAGCAGUGGGGAAUUUUGGACAAUGGACGCAAGUCUGAUCCAGCCAUGCCGCGUGCGGGAAGAAGGCCUUCGGGUUGUAAACCGCUUUUGUCAGGGAAGAAACGCUCUGGGUUAAUACCUCGGGGUAAUGACGGUACCUGAAGAAUAAGCACCGGCUAACUACGUGCCAGCCGCCGCCGUAAGAC
rnacentral:rRNA from 1 species